UACGUAGGGUGCGAGCGUUGUCCGGAUUUAUUGGGCGUAAAGAGCUCGUAGGCGGUUUGUCGCGUCGUUCGUGAAAACUCACAGCUUAACUGUGAGCUUGCGGUCGAUACGGGCAGGCUAGAGUUCGGUAGGGGAGAUCGGAAUUCCUGGUGUAGCGGUGAAAUGCGCAGAUAUCAGGAGGAACACCGGUGGCGAAGGCGGAUCUCUGGGCCGAUACUGACGCUGAGGAGCGAAAGCGUGGGGAGCGAACAGG
rnacentral:rRNA from 1 species